AUUGAACGCUGGCGGCAUGCUUUACACAUGCAAGUCGAACGGCAGCGCGGGAGCAAUCCUGGCGGCGAGUGGCGAACGGGUGAGUAGUGCAUCGGAACGUGCCCAGUUGUGGGGGAUAGCCCGGCGAAAGCCGGAUUAAUACCGCAUGAGACCUGAGGGUGAAAGCGGGGGAUCGAAAGACCUCGCGCGACUGGAGCGGCCGAGGUCAGAUUAGGUAGUUGGUGGGGUAAGGGCCUACCAAGCCUGCGAUCUGUAGCUGGUCUGAGAGGACGACCAGCCAGACUGGGACGGAGACACGGCCCAGACUCCUACGGGAGGCAGCAGUGGGGAAUGUUGCACAAUGGGCGCAAGCCUGAUCCAGCCAUGCCGCGUGCGGGAAGAAGGCCUUCGGGUUGUAAACCGCUUUUGUCGGGGAAGAAACGGCCUGGGCUAAUACCUUGGGCUAAUGACGGUACCCGAAGAAUAAGCACCGGCUAACUACGUGCCAGCCGCCGCCGUAA
rnacentral:rRNA from 1 species